rnacentral:rRNA from 1 species
CACUCCUUACGGGGGAGACAGUCAUGAGACGUGAGUAUAAGACCUGAGUGUAAAGACCUUAGGGUGAAGCAAUUGGAGGGCAAGCUUUGGUGCCAGCAGCCGCGGUAACUCCAACUCCAAGAGUGUCUAUGGUGGAUGCUGCAGUUAAAGGGUCCGUAGUCGUGAAUGCAAUUAAAUGUCGUUGUUCAAUAGCGAUGAGUUUGCUAAUGUUUGCGGAACGGAUAGGGAGUGUAGUAUAGACUGGCGAAGAAUGAAAUCUCAAGACCCAGUUUGGACUAACGGAGGCGAAGGCGACACUCUUAGACGUAUCUUAGGAUCAAGGACGAAGGCAGGAGUAUCGAAAGUGAUUAGACACCGCUGUAGUUCCUGCAGUAAACUAUGCCGACAGCCUGUGUGUGAGAAUACGUGGGCGGGAGAAAUCUUAGUGUUCGGGCUCUGGGGAUAGUACGCUCGCAAGGGUGAAACUUAAAGCGAAAUUGACGGAAGGACACUACCAGGAGUGGAUUGUGCUGCUUAAUUUAACUCAACGCGGGAAAACUUACCAGGGUCAAGUCAUUCGUUGAUCGAAUACGUGAGAAUGGCAGGAGGGG